AGAGUUUGAUCAUGGCUCAGAAUCAACGCUGGCGGCGCGCUUAACACAUGCAAGUCGCACGAGAAAGUGGAGCAAUCCAUGAGUAAAGUGGCGUACGGGUGAGUAACACGUGGGUAAUCUACCUCUUAGUGGGGAAUAACCUGGGGAAACCCGGGCUAAUACCGCAUAAGCUCGAGAGAGGAAAGCAGCAAUGCGCUGAGAGAGGAGCCCGCGGCCGAUUAGCUAGUUGGGAGGGUAAAAGCCUACCAAGGCAAAGAUCGGUAGCCGGCCUGAGAGGGCACACGGCCACACUGGCACUGAAACACGGGCCAGACUCCUACGGGAGGCAGCAGUGGGGAAUCUUGCACAAUGGGGGAAACCCUGAUGCAGCGACGCCGCGUGAGCGAUGAAGCCCUUCGGGGUGUAAAGCUCUUUCGGCAGGGAAGAUGAUGACGGUACCUGCAGAAGCAGCUGCGGCUAACUACGUGCCAGCAGCCGCGGUAAUACGUAGGCAGCGAGCGUUGUUCGGAGUUACUGGGCGUAAAGGGUGUGUAGGCGGUUCUUUAAGUUUGGUGUGAAAUCUCCCGGCUCAACCGGGAGGGUGCGCCGAAUACUGAGGGACUCGAGUGCGGGAGAGGAAAGUGGAAUUCCUGGUGUAGCGGUGAAAUGCGUAGAUAUCAGGAGGAACACCGGUGGUGUAGACGGCUUUCUGGACCGUAACUGACGCUGAGACACGAAAGCGUGGGUAGCAAACAGGAUUAGAUACCCUAGUAGUCC
rnacentral:rRNA from 1 species